rnacentral:lncRNA from 1 species
UUUUUGUUGAAACAAAUUGUGUGACAUCUAUCCGUUUGAUUUGAAAGUUGUGACCGCCUCGUACAACCAUUUGGAAUUUGUGGUUUCCGACCUCUUGUGAGGGAUAAGUGUAGCGGGGUUUUCCUUACCUUUAGGUUUAUUGACUAAACCAAAAGUAAACAUACAAUUCGAGUCGCCACCACACUUUUAUUUGUCCAAAGGAAAGGCUA